rnacentral:rRNA from 1 species
GAUGAACGCUGGCGGCGUGCCUAAUACAUGCCAGUCGAGCGAACAGAUGAGGAGCUUGCUCCUCUGACGUUAGCGGCGGACGGGUGAGUAACACGUGGAUAACCUACCUAUAAGACUGGGAUAACUUCGGGAAACCGGAGCUAAUACCGGAUAAUAUAUUGAACCGCAUGGUUCAAUAGUGAAAGACGGUUUUGCUGUCACUUAUAGAUGGAUCCGCGCCGCAUUAGCUAGCUGGUAAGGUAACGGCUUACCAAGGCAACGAUGCGUAGCCGACCUGAGAGGGUGAUCGGCCACACUGGAACUGAGACACGGUCCAGACUCCUACGGGAGGCAGCAGUAGGGAAUCUUCCGCAAUGGGCGAAAGCCUGACGGAGCAACGCCGCGUGAGUGAUGAAGGUCUUCGGAUCGUAAAACUCUGUUAUUAGGGAAGAACAAAUGUGUAAGUAACUAUGCACGUCUUGACGGUACCUAAUCAGAAAGCCACGGCUAACUACGUG